GAAAUGCGAUAAGUAGUGUGAAUUGCAGAAUUCAGUGAAUCAUCGAAUCUUUGAACGCACAUUGCGCCCCUUGGUAUUCCAUGGGGCAUGCCUGUUCGAGCGUCAUUUGUACCUUCAAGCUCUGCUUGGUGUUGGGUGUUUGUCUCGCCUCUGCGUGUAGACUCGCCUUAAAACAAUUGGCAGCCGGCGUAUUGAUUUCGGAGCGCAGUACAUCUCGCGCUUUGCACUCACAACGACGACGUCCAAAAGUACAUUUUUACACUCUUGACCUCGGAUCAGGUAGGGAUACCCGCUGAACUUAA
rnacentral:rRNA from 1 species